GCGCAGCAGUCGCGAAUACUUUACAAUGUGCGAAAGCACGAUAAGGGAACUCUGAGUGCCUCCUAAGGAGGCUGUUCAGGUGUCUAAAAGCACCUGAAGGAAGGGCUGGGUAAGACCGGUGCCAGCCGCCGCGGUAACACCGGCAGCCCAAGUGGUAGCCACGUUUAUUGGGUCUAAAGCGUCCGUAGCCGGCUGGGUAAGUUCCUUGGGAAAUUUGGCUGCUUAACAGUCAAGCUUUCAGGGAAUACUGCCCGGCUUGGGACCGGGAGAGGUCAGAGGUACUCCAGGGGUAGGGGUGAAAUCCAUUAAUCCUUGGGGGACCACCGGUAGCGAAGGCGUCUGACCAGACCGGGUCCGACGGUGAGGGACGAAGGCUAGGGGCGCGAACCGGAUUAGAUA
rnacentral:rRNA from 1 species